CCCUUAGAUGUUCUGGGCCGCACGCGCGCUACACUGAUGCAUUCAACGAGCCUAUCCUUGACCGACAGGUCCGGGUAAUCUUUGAAUCUGCAUCGUGACGGGGAUAGAUUAUUGCAAUUAUUAAUCUUCAACGAGGAAUGCCUAGUAGGCGCGAGUCAUCAGCUCGCAUUGAUUACGUCCCUGCCCUUUGUACACACCGCCCGUCGCACCUACCGAUUGAAUGUUUCGGUGAAGAUUCCGGAUAGGACUUUUUUGAUUUAUUUCAAUUUUGUCUUAAAAGCUAUCUAAACCUCAACAUUUAGAGGAAGGUGAAGUCGUAACA
rnacentral:rRNA from 1 species